UCCCAGAAAGGCUUAGAAAGCUUCACAUACGUAACUUGUGCCAUUUGCCAAGAGAGCAAACCCUGAUUGCCAGCACUGAUUAGUAGAAGCAUUCCUGUGAAACGUGGUGCAAAAAUGUUCUUUUGCUAAACAAUCUUUUGCAGAACUCAGGACAAGUAGUAAUGUUUCCAUUACUUGAAAAAACAAGACAAACGAAGUUUCCUGAUGAGUUUCCAGUGCAAAUACUGUAGUGAUGGUUUCUGAGAACUAGAAAGUAAAAUCAGUAGGAAAUGGAAAAUUAGAAAGUGUAGCUGUCAAGUUUUCACUAAGCUGGGGCAGCUAAAAUAUUCCUAGCUCUUUUUGGUUUGGAAAUUAUAGCGCUAAAAAUACAGGCACAAUGUCAGUCACAGGGAGUUCUCUUCAAAACAUCGCUUGCGGCUUGUAGCUGCGAUGCACAGCAAUGAAUUCAGACCAGCGAACCUCGCGCUGUGCAGAACGCCUUGCUGGAGCCGAGACGUUCCCGCGUCCGGGAUUUGCCGUGUGGAGCAUGACCUGACCCUCGCCAGCGGGGACCAGUGUGACGCCAGCGCUGAGGAUGUCAACCACAACCUGGACGUAGCACUGAUAGAAGUAGACCCUGGUUCUCAUCUGUGAACUGAUAGCCCGUGAUAAGAAUCUCUCUGACCCGACUGCUGGAGUUGGUUUCUGAAGUGAUCCAAGGAACUGCUGCAGCAAGCUCAUGCUCUGUGACCUAUUCCACAGAGCCAGCAUGUAGCUAUAGUACCACACAAAAUGCCCUUGGCUACGAAGGGAAGAGGACAGGAAGACGACCAG